ACGGUUGGUGGUUCUAGGGAAGUACGUAGUCCGCGUGUUGUGCGAGGUAAAGGCAGACCUCCAUCUCUAAGGAGAGCAUCCAGGAUGGAGAUAGACAUGCGAAAAGCUAAAGCAAAGACCAAGAAAGCACCAGCAAAAGGGAAGCGUAAAGAGCGGGAUGGAGGAGAUAUCCAAGUCGCGGAUAGAGGAGAUACACCAACCGUAGAAGUAUGCAGGAAUUUAUUUGGCCCUUCUGAGAUGGCUGUUCCAGAAAGAGAAAGCGUGGCUAUAGAUGUUACUGGAACCCAACCCUGAGAGCACUUUGUGAUGCAGAGUCAAGAAAGCAUUCAAUUUGGAUUAGAUGGAUCACAACCGUUGCAAUAAUGGGUUUGUUGUAAAACAUUUUGUGUAUUGAAUGUAUUGUAGGGGUUCUUUUUUUUAUUGAAUGUAUUUGAGGGAGGGACUUUGUUGUAACCAUGGAUUGAAUAUAUUUUGUGUGUAUUUGAUGUACUUUGUUGUUAUGGUUGGAUUGGAGGAACUUUGUUGUGUAUUGGAUAUAUUUUGUGUAUUUGAUGGACUUUGUUGUUAUGGUUGGGUUGGAGGAAAUUUGUUGUGUAUUUUGGAUAUUAUGUGUAUAUUUCAGGGACUUUGUUGUAAAUGUUGGGUUAGAGGAAAUUUGUUGUGUAUUUUGGAUAUUAUGUGUAUAUUUUGAGGGACUUUGUUGUAAAUGUUAGGUUGGAGGAAAUUUGUUGUGUAGUUCAUAUAUUUUGUGUAUUUGAGGAAUGGACUUUGUUGUAAAUGUUGGGUUGGAGGAAAUUUGUUGUGUAUUUCAUAUAUUUUGUAUUAAAGAAUUCAUGAUGAGUAAAGCAUUGCAGAAAAAUCUAUAUAAGCUUGAGUGGUUACCAUUUUCUUUUCUUUUGUUAUACUCUUGUUAUGGACACAAUGGUGUUGAACA